GAGUAACACGUGACCAACCUACCUUCGAGUGGGGGAUAACUCCGGGAAACCGGGGCUAAUACCGCAUAAGAUCCUGGAGCUGAAAUGCUCAGGGACCAAAGGAGCAAUUUGCUUGAAGAGGGGGUCGCGGCUGAUUAGCUAGUUGGCGGGGUAACGGCCCACCAAGGCGAUGAUCAGUAGCCGGCCUGAGAGGGCGCACGGCCACACUGGAACUGAAACACGGUCCAGACUCCUACGGGAGGCAGCAGUGGGGAAUUUUGCACAAUGGGGGAAACCCUGAUGCAGCAACGCCGCGUGGAGGAUGAAGCCCCUUGGGGCGUAAACUCCUUUCGAUCGGGACGAUAAUGACGGUACCGGAAGAAGAAGCACCGGCUAACUCUGUGCCAGCAGCCGCGGUAAUACAGAGGGUGCAAGCGUUGCUCGGAAUUAUUGGGCGUAAAGGGCGCGUAUGCGGUGCGGUAAGUAUGCUGUGAAAUCUCUGGGCUCAACUCAGAGCUGGCAGCGUAGACUGCCGUGCCGGAGUGUGGGAGAGGUGCGUGGAAUUCCCGGUGUAGCGG
rnacentral:rRNA from 1 species